GACGAACCGUGCAAACGUUAUUCGGAACCACUGGGCAUAAAGGGCGCGUAGGCGGCUUCAUAAGUCAGGGGUGAAAUCCGGCAGCUUAACUGUCGCAGUGCCUUUGAUACUGUGGAGCUCGAGGGAGGUAGGGGUCUGUGGAACUUCCGGUGGAGCGGUGAAAUGCGUUGAUAUCGGAAGGAACGCCGGUGGCGAAAGCGACGGACUGGAUCUCUUCUGACGCUGAGGCGCGAAAGCCAGGGGAGCAAACGGG
rnacentral:rRNA from 1 species